rnacentral:rRNA from 1 species
UACAGAGGUCCCAAGCGUUGUUCGGAUUCACUGGGCGUAAAGGGUGCGUAGGUGGCGAAAUAAGUUUGAUGUGAAAUCUCCGAGCUUAACUCGGAAACUGCAUUGAAUACUGUUUUGCUAGAGGGUUGGAGGGGGGACUGGAAUUCUCGGUGUAGCGGUGAAAUGCGUAGAUAUCGAGAGGAACACCAGUGGCGUAGGCGAGUCCCUGGACAACUCCUGACACUGAGGCACGAAAGCUAGGGUAGCAAAC